AAGAGUUUCACUGCUGCCUCGAGCUUGGGCAUCUGCCUCGAUCUGUGCGUGCCUGUGUGAGUGUGUGUAUGCGUGUUUGAGCGAGAGAGAUCAUGAGAGAGAGAGAAAGAGAGAGAGUUUGCUGAAACAACAGGUGGGUGUUUUAAGUGCGUGGGAGGGAUCCUGUAUUGCAGCGCCCAGAAACGUGGGCUGAAGGUCAGAGGUCAGAGAUUCGCCCGCGUGGGCUGAGAAAAGGAACGAGUGGGCCGAGAUGAACUCGCAGUCCAAGUAACACAUUUGAAUGAAGCAGAUAAGUCGUCACUGUUUUUUUUUUUUUAAACCACUUGGUGAUUUAUACAGUCGUGGCUUUAAAUAUAUUUAUUCCAAAACAUGUACACUUAUACAGGAGCAAUGGACAAUUUUCUUUUCCCCCCAGACACAAAGCUCACUGAGAAGAUCAGGGAUUGAAUUAACCAUCAGAAGCCUUCAUUUGCAUCAUGAAUUGCUGGCUCUAAAAGGACGCCCCCCUGUGGCUUGAAUCUCAAAGUGACCUUAACACUUGGAACAUUUGUUGGUACAGUGUGCUCUGUUCCAGGAUCAGAUGGUGUCGUUGUCUUUUAUUUCACGUCCAUGCUGAUUCACUGUCAUGGCAACCAUCUGUGUAGCAACCUCGCCUUCUCCAUAAGACAGCUGUCAGAAGUCAGUCCACUUUGUAAAGAUGAUGGUAUCGGAUAUAACGUAGUCUCCAUGUGGGCCCGUGGGAGAACCAAUCAACUUUAGUUUGGAAGAACUCAACCAAGGAACAAUGCAUCAAAGUACCAGAACAACUAUUUGAACCUAAAGGAAACUUCUCCAGAGAGGAACCAAACCUUUCAAGAAGAUGCCGGAGGACGACAGGCGACAUGUCUCUACCAUCUGAGGACUUCUAUUGCCGGCGUUUCCAGCCCAACACCUUUGACCCGUCUCGUUGCAGCACCUGCUUACGGCCAGAUCACAUGCACCUUAACACUGCACCUGAAGAUGCUUCACAAAAGUGGGAGUUGGCUGAUGAUGAGCAAGUUUCAUCUGAAGUGAACUCAAGUGCCAGCGGUGAUGACGUCACAGAUGCUUGGACCUACGAGUGGAGUCUUGUCCGCAGUUUGAGUCCUGAGUGCGAACUUGAUAUCUGUGACGCUGACACACAAUCUAGCCACAGUCCAGAGAGGAGCAGGUCCCCAAGUUCAGAAAGGAAUUGUGUCACCCUCGGAGAUAUGACCCGGAUGGACCCUUCUCCCAUUCGCAGUGCUGGGAGUCCCUGGAUGGACGAGAGGAGAGGCAGGAACAGAUCCCGCAGAACUUCAGAGUCCAGAGGAGUCAGGGAACAAGAAAGUGGCUACUUCUCUCCAGACCGAAGAACUGAUAGUGAACAUCUGACAGAGGACGUCAACAAAAAAUCUUAUCGCUACUACGAGAGGGGUCGUCCACUCCCCAACAAUUACGUCCCUGAACCCAAAGCCUCUGUCCCGUAUCGGAACAUCAAUCUCGGUAUUCCCUCCCAGAGGAGGAACCCUGAAACGUACAUGCUGGACACUUGGAGAAGCGAAUCUCCUCAGAGGUAUUCAUACCACUCCAAUUUCCGAAAGGAGACCGAGUCAUCGAGGAACUCUCCAACACGUCAUAGCUCAGUGAGCCCAGACAGACACAAGAGCUCAGACCACCGAAUACGUUCUCUCUCCAGAAGCGAGACUCGAUCUCAUGGCUCGUCUCACCUUCCCUCUCAGCGUACAUCCAGCAGGUCCAGCUCAUCACGUAGACGAGGCUCCUUUGCCUCUCGAACGGUGUCACCGUCCAGACUAACAGCUUCUCACAAGCGCACCGACUCCUUUUCACAAAACGGAGGCUAUGAAGCACAAGGAGGAUGUAGCCGAGAAUCCAAAAGCCCAUCACAAGCUUCCAACAAGCAUAGUUUAGACUCUGAGAGGCUCUACAGAAAUCUGGAGUCCAUCUCCCGCCGUACCUCCUCCUCAAUAUUUCAACAGAACACAAAUGAGGGAUUCCAAAGAUCUCCUCGAACCAGAGAAGGCUCUCUGUCUAGAAAUGGCUCACACAGCAACACCUCACCAAAACUAAGCGCCUCUCCUGGAUCCUGGCAGGGAUCUUCACAGUCUGUGCUGGGCAUUCCCAUCUCUCGUAGUUUGAAACAUGGCACGGAUCACCAAGGGUCGGCUGGGUCGCCGCCACCUGUCGCGAUCACGGAAAUGGACGAGAGCAAAACUACAAAGAUCAGCCGUGACAGAAGCAGGAGUAACGUGAGGAGCGGCAUGGAGGCCUUGCUCCUCUCUGAACCCAAGACGGCUGCUCAAGAGCUCGAGGAGGUGGGGAUGACAUUGGAAGACUACAUCGUACUGGCUGACAUUCCGACAAUCCAAGUGGAGUCAGAGGAAGACUUGCCAGGUCUGACGAAGAGGAACCAGAGUCCAAGUCCUUGUAGAGAGCAAAGGUUUCGGACUCAAAGCCAUCAACCUCAGGCCGACUUCUACAGUUGGAAUUUUCCUUCGGAUGAGAGAGGCAGAGGUAGAGAGCGAGGGAGAGACAGGAGAGAGAAGAAGGACUCGGAGAACGGUCGCUUAUCACAAAGACAGUCAACAUCUCUCCGUACACAGAAUUCAGACAAGCAAAGUGGGGAGCAGAGAGACUCGAAGUCGGAUGAGCGAGGACUUCACGACUGUCCGCAGACACAGAUGCCGCGACUCUGAAGGGGUGGAUGUCUCGACUGGAUGAAAACGACAAGUGGAGGAAACACUGGUUUGUUCUGGAUGAUGAGUCGCUGAGAUAUUACAAGGACCCAGAGGCUGAGGAGUCAGAUGACUUGGACGGAGAAAUUCACUUAUCCACUUGUGUCAACGUGUCAGACUGGGACGUGGAAAAAAA